rnacentral:rRNA from 1 species
GAUGAACGCUGGCGGCGUGCCUAAUACAUGCAAGUCGAGCGAACAGACGAGGAGCUUGCUCCUCUGACGUUAGCGGCGGACGGGUGAGUAACACGUGGAUAACCUACCUAUAAGACUGGGAUAACUUCGGGAAACCGGAGCUAAUACCGGAUAAUAUAUUGAACCGCAUGGUUUAAUAGUGAAAGACGGUUUUGCUGUCACUUAUAGAUGGAUCCGCGCCGCAUUAGCUAGUUGGUAAGGUAACCGCUUACCAAGGCAACGAUGCGUAGCCGACCUGAGAGGGUGAUCGGCCACACUAGAACUGAAACACGGUCCAGACUCCUACGGGAGGCAGCAGUAGGGAAUCUUCCGCAAUGGGCGAAAGCCUGACGGAGCAACGCCGCGUGAGUGAUGAAGGUCUUCGGAUCGUAAAACUCUGUUAUUAGGGAAGAACAAAUGUGUAAGUAACUAGGCACGUCUUGACGGUACCUAAUCAGAAAGCCACGGCUAACUACGUG